UAGCUGGUCCGUGUCGCCCCGGGGUGGGAUGCCAGGCGCCUCACGUCUGCGGCAGUCGGAGGCACGGUCUUGUCUGGCCUCGCUUCUCUCCCGGUAUCCUGUUCCUGACUGACAGUCGGCGUUCAGGUGGUGCCGCGUGCGCGCCAAGUCAGCCAUACUCUGGGGCUGCGGGGGUACUGGGCGGGCUGCGGCCCAAGGGGACCGGAAGGUCCCGGCCCUCUUUCCGGUCUCCCCAACAGCCUGGAGGGUUGGCUUUUGUUUUGUCCCAAUAGACCCUGCAGGUCAGACCCUGCCAGCUUCUUACUCCGCUCCCACACCCUCCAGGCCCCUGGGUCCGCCGCACCCUCCGGGCCUGCGGCCUAAGGUUUAGUCAGAUCCCUUGGGACCCGCCGCUUCUGGGAAAGAAGUGCCUCACGUCUGGAGGAUGCUCAGUCCCGUCAUGACUGGACCGGUUACGGCCCCCGCCCUGAUCCCUGGGAGGAGAAGCGGGACACCCACGCCCUCCAGAAAUGUUUUCCAGAGAUGGUACUUCUGCCAAAUUCGGGAUGUGAGGUGUCCGUGCAUGAUUUAGAGUAUGCAACAUGCUGUUUAAUCACACUGAUUCUGGCACUCUGGACAGCAGCUGGGGUUGUAGUCAUCAUAAUGCUUUGGAGCUAUCCAGUUUUGUCUGAGGACCUGUCUUUAUCGGUGAAAAACUGAACAAGGUGCUG